CGCAAGAGGGAAACUCAAAGGAAUUGACGGGGACCCGCACAAGUAGCGGAGCAUGUGGUUUAAUUCGAAGCAACGCGAAGAACCUUACCUAAGCUUGACAUCCCAAUGACAUCUCCUUAAUCGGAGAAUUCCCUUCGGGGACAUUGGUGACAGGUGGUGCAUGGUUGUCGUCAGCUCGUGUCGUGAGAUGUUGGGUUAAGUCCCGCAACGAGCGCAACCCUUGUCUUUAGUUGCCAUCAUUAAGUUGGGCACUCUAGAGAGACUGCCAGGGAUAACCUGGAGGAAGGUGGGGAUGACGUCAAAUCAUCAUGCCCCUUAUGCUUAGGGCUACACACGUGCUACAAUGGGUAGUACAGAGGGUUGCCAAGCCGUAAGGUGGAGCUAAUCCCUUAAAGCUACUCUCAGUUCGGAUUGUAGGCUGAAACUCGCCUACAUGAAGCUGGAGUUACUAGUAAUCGCAGAUCAGAAUGCUGCGGUGAAUGCGUUCCCGGGUCUUGUACACACCGCCCGUCACACCACGGGAGUUGGAGACGCCCGAAGCCGAUUAUCUAACCU
rnacentral:rRNA from 1 species